rnacentral:lncRNA from 1 species
CUCGGCCCCUUUAUCCGAGCCAAUGGCAGCUGGGGCGCCUUUUCUUAGUCAGAGCCUCGGCAGUGCGAGGGGGCCUUGGCAGGCCUCCCGCCCGGAGACGUCUCCUAUCGCCCGCCCUGUGUGUGGCGGGCGGGGAAAGAGACUCCUUGUUCUACCCCCUUGGCAGUAUUUCCCUUGGAGACAAGUAGAAGCGAUGCUCACGAGUGACAGCCGAAGCGAAUGUGCCGGACGAGGGAGGAUCACGAGGUCGGGCUGCUCCCUUUUUCGCCUCAGGCAUUCAGGUGACUGGUGCUCAGAGACCAGGGAGCAAGUCAAGGCCUGUUUCGGAGCUUGACCUACUUGGGUAAUGUCGACUUAGCAAAUGACUCCGUUUCCGAAAGCGGGGGGCUGAUGGUCCUUAGCGUAUCACUUUGACAACCUGAACUUCACUGGCUUGUUCCUUUCCACUGAACAAGCAUCUCCAUCCCAAUACACAUACACACACACACACACACACACACACACACGUGUAUAUGUAUUUAUAUAUGUAGGUGCUAUAUUAUUUCAGUGCCACCUCUACUACUUAUUUCACUAGCGAUGUUUGGUGAACCAAAUCAGAUUUUACCAUUCUAAUCUCAUCUGACAGCUUCAAAUACAGCCAUACCUCGGGUUAAAGUAGCUUCGGGUUAAAUCUUUUCAGGUUGCGACCCGGAAGUAACGGAAUGGGUUACUUCCAGGUUUCGUCGCGCAUGCGCAGACACUCAAAAUGACGUCAAGCACACGUGCAGAAGCGGCGAAUUGCGACCCGCGCGUGCACAGACGCGGCUUGCGUUCUUCUCAGGAUGUGAACGGGGCUCCGGAACGGAUCCCAUUCGCAUCCAGAGGUACCACUGUAUUACAAAAAAGAAAAAUCAUUUUGCAGGCGCCAUAGCUCAGCGCUAAAGAAGGUCCCAGGUUCAACCCUCCACAUGUCCACAGCAGGCUGGAAAUAUUCCAUCUAAAAGCCUGGUCAGCAUAGACAGUACUACUAUACAUAAACUUAAUGGUCUGAUUCUGUAAAAGGCUGUUUCCUAUUUUCUGGGGAUAAAUAGCCAGAAUGUACAGGCUGAUCUGUGAUGGUUACAUAUGCAUGUACUCAUUAGUCGUAUAUGAGCUGGGAUGGCUUAAUUGGUUGUGUUUUGUAGCAUGUGCUAGAAUAGGGGAAGGGAUGUAGCUCAGUGGUCAAGCAUUUGCUUUGCAAACAGAAGGCCCAGGUCCAAUUACCAGGUAGGACUAGGAAUGCCCCCUACGUGGAACAUGGAGAGCUGCUGCCAGUUAGUGUAGAGAUAAUACUACAUGGACCGCCAGUCUGACUUGAUAUAAGGAUGCUUCCUUUGUUCCUAAUGUAUGUGUGGUUUGCACAUGAAUUUGUAUAUGGAUUUCAAAACUUACAAAGCAACCAUGCAGGAUAAUGAUUUGACCAAGUAGCUCAGAGAAGACUGAAGUCAGGGUCUCCUGCAUACACAUAAUGCCAUUUGCUGAUACAAAGGAUGUUUCAUGAUGAGGAGAUAAUCAUUAUGUGCAACCAGAGUUUUUUUCUAGAAAAAUAGGUGCUGGUACUCACCAUGAAGUUGUUACAGUAAGUGCCACACUUUUUAACUGAAAAAAGAGAGGUGCCAGUACUGCAUACCCCCGAGUGCCCCCUGAAAAACACACACCAUGUGCAACACAUAGCUACCCACUUACCCAUCAACUUUAUGGUUUCUCAAGGUGCUGGCUUCCAUGAGAGACACAGUUGCAGCAAUUGUUGUAGGUUGUAGGUUGAGAACAUUGGAGCAAACGUGUGCUGUGCCCAUACCUUAGGCACUAGUUUUAUUGGCAACAUAAUGUAUUCAGCUGACUGUACUAAUAUUCACUGAGAGAAACAUUUCUUAACAGUACUGUCAUCUCAUUGUUCCUGGGUGAGGGCCAAUUUAUGCAACCAGUUUUGCAUGUUAAGGAAAGAGAAUAAGCCAUGCAGAAUUCAGCAUAUGGCAAUGCGGUUAUGUGACUGCUUCUCUACAUACUGCACCACAAACCUAGCUCACAACUCAGCCAAACAUUAUUUAUUUAUUUAGACCAUUUCGGUGCCAGUUGAUAUACAGAAGUAUCACUAAGUGGUUUAUAGAAAACUAAAGCAACAAAAAUGCUAUAACAAUACAGUUCAAUACACAGUAAGCUCUCAACAUAUGUGGAGGCUAUGCUCUGGAGAUCAUGCCUAAAGCCAAAAUCACAUGUAGUCAAAACACACUGGGUGCUGUGGCAGGUGGGAUUGCCAAAGGAUUUUCUUUUUUCCCAAAUUCCCACCCACUUUUUUUUUCUUGCCAAGUGCAUAAACCUGAAUGCACAUAAGUUAAAUGUGCAUCAGUUGCAGGCUUACUGUAGACAAAUGUUAAUAUAAAUGACUAAAAAAUAGAGAUGCACCCUCCCCUCUUAUCCUCCUGACCCUCGCCCAGGGCACCACUCAUCCAUCCUAGCUCUCACAUAAAAGAAAGUGCUUCUUCACAUAGCACUUAACGGUGGCUUAUGGAACUUGCUCCGACAGAACACAGUGCUAGCCAUGGACAUGGUUGGCAUUAAUUGGGCAAAUUAAUGGAGGACAAGACUACUGAUGGUCAGAGGCAGCAAUGCUUCUAAAUACCAGUUGCUGGAAGCCGCAGGAGCUUGCGUCCUGCUUGGAGGCUUCCCACAGGCAUCUGGCUGGUCACCAUGAGAACAGGAUGCUGGACUGGAUGGGCCAUUCCUAUGUUCUUAUGCCUCUUAUCCAAGGCGCAAACAAUUUUUAAAUGUCUCACAAAUAGAAGGGUUGCUGCUGACAUCACACUACUCUUUCUAGGCAUGCUUUUUAUGGGCAGGCACCAAGGUGGAUGGAGCAUCCUCUGGCUGCCCACAGCAGUGUCCCAUUUAGCAACCAGCUUCACUUUCCACACCCAGUUUCAGAUGCAGCAAGUUUGGUGAGUUUCUCAAGAGUCCUAAGGAUGGCAAGUAGGACACUCCUCUACACAUAGGUCUCUGCACACCUAUGCACCAGUUGUUUUUUAAACUAACAUAUCCCUCAGCUGAUUUCCCACGUGCAACUAAAAAAUAAAAAUCACAANNNNNNNNNNNNNNNNNNNNNNNNNNNNNNNNNNNNNNNNNNNNNNNNNNNNNNNNNNNNNNNNNNNNNNNNNNNNNNNNNNNNNNNNNNNNNNNNNNNNUGUAAGUUUUGACGGUUUUAAAUUUGGAGGUUCAUGUACAUUAUGUUGGUAUGGGAAACUGUCGUGUGACGGGCCAAUGGCCGUAAUAAAGAUCAAUCAAUCAAUCAAAGCUAUUUUGAAACUUUAUAGUGACAAAACUGUUUUGCUAGAUGCUGAAUUCAUGUAACCCUAACUUGGUUAGAAAUUAUUCCUGACUCAGUAUUUCUGAAUUGAUUAUAUGUUAUCUCAUUCUCAAAGAAGCUCAGUAGUGUGGUGGAUUUCUUCAAUAACCACACCAUUGUGAUGUUUAAGGCAACUUUACUUAGUCAUAACAGCAGCUGCUGGGAACCCACAAACGUGGAGUUUACAGGCCUUCACAGGGGUGUACCGAGGGUCAAGGAGAGAACUGCGCCUCCAGCUCCACUGGCGUUGAGGAGGAGGGGGCAGCUGCUGCAGGGCCUGGGGGGGGGGUGAGCAGGCAGGGUGGUGCCACUGGAGGUGGCAGCACUACAGCAGGUGAGGUAGAGGAGUGACAAAUUUUACUAAAAUAGAAGGGGACAGAGGAGGAGAAGAAAGAGGGGGAUAAAUAAAAAGAAGGAAAUAAAGAGUGGGGUGUGGGGGAGAAGAGAAGAGGAUAGAGGAAUGAAUGAGAAAGGAAAAUCCAGCAACGAAAAGAUGCGUGCAAAAACAAAAAGCAAAGAAACAGAAGAAGGGUAUCUGGAAAAGGGAGCAGGGGCAGAAGCUUUCAUGGACCAGAGGAACCAUUUGAUGCUCCUUUAUUUUUAUUUAGAAGUGAAUAUUUCUGUUGAAUGUGCCAGUGGUGCAGCUAAGUGAUUUUAGAACCUGGACUUAAUGGUCUUAGUGCCCUCACCACCACUGCCAUGGCUGUGUGUAUUGUUUCAAAUGAAGUGAAGCACAGAAUUAACCUCUCCUUUCCUCUCCUCUCCUCCCCUCCCCCACUCCUGCCUCAUGAUUCCAUGCUUUAUAACUUAUUCUACAUUCCUGAUAUGUCACAGCAAACAAACAUUUGCCAAACCAGAAAAAAAUGGGGAAAGAGAUACUCUAAGGCUCCUUGCCAAGGGUGUAAUGGGCACAAAGGAGCCUGUGUAUGCCUCUGAAAUUAUACAGAUCUUAUAUAGCGGCAUUCUCUUGCCUUAGCUUUGCACAUGCGUAGUAAUUAAGUACCAUUCUCAUUAUCAGAGCUUUAUGCUUAAAUCAGCUACAUAUACAGGGUGCCUGCUCUCUAUGAAACUAGCUGAAGUCUGAGUUUUUCCUGCAGAAACAUUCUUGACACAUUCGUAAUACACUCGAUGAGUAAGCAGAUUAUCCUAUCAAUAUCCGUUCACACACUCUUUUAUAUCUCUUCCCAUAUAGGCUAUCUAUCGAAACAUAUAAUGUGCUAAUGCUUGACACCACAUACUGUAUACAAGAGCCUUAAUCAAUUAGGAAAAGCUGUCAUUCCCUAACCCUAUAUGGAAAAUAAGUGGUACAGCUGGGUAAUUUUAAUUUCUGGACUUGAUGGUCUUACUUGUGGUGGGUUGGGGACAUACUGUAGACUAGGGUCUUUUUGAAUGGCUGAUGAAAGUGAACAACUAGAUUUGUUGUGAAAUAAAAUAAGCAGAAAGAAAAGCCUUAUCCUGAACCUUUGGUCCCCUAUACAUUUAUGACCUAAUAUCCUCCAGGCAAGCAAAGCCAUAAAACAGGUAAAAAUGUACAGUACAUUGUCCUAGACACAGAUUGUUUCUCAACAGAAUGCUUUCUUUUGGAGGUGGGGGUUGAGAAGUGGAAACCAAUGUAUUAAAUAACCCACGUAUGGAAGGUACCAAUCACUGAUGGCAAGAAAUCAUUCCACAAGUAUGCAUCAAGAAAGAGUUCACAGUGCAUCCUCCAAUUCAUCUUAUACCACAGCUCACUGGUUUAGGCUAGAGGCAACAAGCUCCAGGACUCCUUCCUCAGACUUGGAUCCCCUGACUGGCAGAAAAGCCCUUUUUUUUCUUGGUUGAACAGGGUCUGAAGGAAUGUUGUUCCAGUCAUAAGUAAUCCAGUUCCACAACCCCGCAGGAAGGAGGCAUGCAAGCUUACAGGAAGUAAGACUGAGAUACCUCAUACAGGGGUACCUCGGGUUAAGAACUUAAUUCGUUCUGGAGGUCUGUUCUUAACCUGAAACUGUUCUUAACCUGAAGCACCACUUUAGCUAAUGGGGCCUCCUGCUGCUGCUGCGCCGCCACCGCACGAUUUCUGUUCUCAUCCUGAAGCAAAGUUCUUAACCCGAGGUACUAUUUCUGGGUUAGUGGAGUCCGUAACCUGAAGCGAAUGUAACCUGAAGCGUAUGUAACCCGAGGUACCACUGUAGUUCUGUGAAGGACACAAAGAAAAAUGGCAGGCAGGGAAUGAAUCCCACCAGCAACAUAUAGGAAGUGAAGCCCUGCAUGGGGCAAAAGUAACCAUUUCAGAAAGAGUUGGUGAGAUGAAGAAUAAAACCCAGUCCUCUUGUUCAACAGAGCAAUACACUUGACUGCAUGGUCAUGGAGAUAGACAGAAAAGCACAUGAUGGGGCUUUUACAGUCUCCCAGUGGUCUUAUCCAGGAUAUGCCUUCUUUCCUCUCCCAGUGCCAUGUAUGGGAUCAUCAUAACAUAAGCAUAUGAACAGCCUGCUGGAUCAGGCGAAUCACCCAUCACUCCAGCAUCCUGCUGUCACCAUGGCCAACCAGGUGCCAAAGGGAAGCCUGUAAGAAGGACCUGAUUGCAGCAGCACUCUCUCAACUUCUGAAUUGUAAAACAAGCAAAUGUUCUUAUUGAAUAGCCUCAAUGAUGUUGUUUUGAAAACCAGAACUAAAAAUAGAAAAGUAGGGUUGCCAAACUCUUAUGUUGCACCAGGGCUCUUGUGCCUGUGAAAACUAUGUGGUAGCAGAGGAAUACUGCCUGCACUCUGCAUCCUGGCAUUCUCAUGCUAGGAUACUUAUGUGUUUGUUAAACUGUUCGCAAAGUUACAGGAGCCUACAGCAUUAAGGUGGCAUUACCACAAAGGAAGUGCUGGAGUCACACUGGCCAUUGCUGUUGUUAGUCUAGUUGUCAGUUUACUGUCUUCUGAAUUGCACUGGGAGUGGAAAACAUCCUUGCUCUUGUCCUUGUUGGAAGGCUGCCUGGGAAAAGAUGAGACACUGGGGCAGUAAGGAGUAAAAGUUAGUAAACAACUUCAACAGGCUUAGGCUCUGUAGGCGACAGUGAGCAAGUAACUGAGAUAAUGCUGCCACCCAAGUGCUCUUCCCUUACCUCCCUACUUCUUGGGUGGUAUUCCUCAAUGCCAAUAUUCAGAGCUCUGUUUGUUAGUAAUAUAUAGAGAUAAUACUUUCCAGUAACGUAUGCUGACCUGCGUUGGAACUCUUGUCUGUUCUUUCUCUUUGUGCUGCUCUGUGUGGUCAUGCUCUUACCCAGCGCCACGGCAGAAAGGGCCAUGGCUGUUUGGUCAGCAGUAGCAAUGGAAAGAAUGACUGCUGUUUUCUCCUGUAAAAAUCCUGUCCUCAUCCAGGCAACAGCACUGAAAGAUGAAAUCACACUGUAGUUCUGCAGUCCUGUGCAGAAUCAAUCAAUGUCAUUGAAAUCAAUGAGAUUUCCCAGUAAUUGCACAGGAUUACAAUGCAGGUGAGACUUUUAUUCAGUUGGAAAUAAUUCAUGAGGGAGAAUUCCCUACUUGACAGCUAUAAAAUGUGACUCUCACAAAUGGUUGAUAACAUCUGAAACUGGUUUCUUUGUGAUUAAGUGUACACAAAAUGUGAUGGUAGAAUGAAAAAAAUAUAAUGGCAAUUCUUCUCUCUCGCUGUGUGUAUGUGUUCGGCUUUCAGCUCAGUAGCUAAUGGCAAGAAAACUUUUGAAGU